rnacentral:lncRNA from 1 species
GCUCUAAAUGAGAACAACGCUCCCAAAUCUCAAGAGAAGAAAAUGAAAACCGGGCAGCUCAUCACCAUGCCAAACUUUUAGACAUUAGCUAUAUAUAUAAGUAGUUCUGGAUUCUGAUUCCACAAUGUUUACACUAUUCUUAACUCCAUACUCUUAUUAAUCAUAUAUAGUUCCAUUCUUUUAACCUCCUUCCUAGGUACUCUUACCAAAUGUCUCACUUUGGGCAUUUAACCACAAUUGGCAAAGCCAUCCAAAUUCUCAUUAAAUGCAAAAGAAUCAGCAAUACUGAAAAUGCAUUCCUGUAGAUAACCAAGCAACCCAAACAUGCAGACGACCAAUAAAUUGUUUCUUAAAAUAGUUACAGACUUUCCCGCAAUGACCUUAAAUCAAAUGCAGAUACCAUACGAGAUUAUCAAUUUCAUUGAAGGAAAUAUGAUCAAUGUGGGUAUCAUUUCCUCUCAACCCAGAACUCAACCACCUCUUGCUACCCAAGAUAUCAACAAUCUAAUUGUCAGAAUCUCAAAUAAAUGACGACUGUGCAGGUUUCCAAUAAGAGUGCUAAUGGACCAGGCAGGCUUGAUCCACCAAAAGACCCAAUCUGAAAAAUUUGAGCUUGGGGCCAAGAUUCAAAAGGCUUAUGGCUGAGCUUGGGACUGAAAAUUAAGGCUUGAAAGUUUUGCAUCCAAAUGCUAAACAUAUUUUCACUCUCAAACAAACCCUAUAAAUAGCCCUAGCAGAUCUCAUGUUGAAAAUAAUACUAACAAGGGUGUUAUUGCCGAUCCUCGAACCACUUAUGUGGAUCGCCUCUGUGGAUCUGCAAGACAGUAGCUUGGGACUGUUGGUGGGAAAGCGGAUGAAAAGCCAUGCCACAUAGAAGGAGAAACCUCCCUGACAUGUCUCCCAUUACGUCCCAUGGUUCCCAGAGGGAAUCCAACCUCCCCAAUCACGAUUGUCAACACCACUGUUGUCGUCGUCGUUCCGAGCGCCGGUGACUAUCAAGCAAUUCAACUGGCUCAAGUAGCAAGUCUAGGCCUUGACCGACUUGGUUAGGGGUCUGGUCCCGGAAUGGAGGGAAUCUACAUCAACAAUCCGAGGAUCGGCAACAAGAAAGGGUACAUAAAUAUCAUUCUAUAUGUAAAACCCUAAAGCAAAACCUAAUAUGAAAAGACCUCUUAUCUCCCUCCGUCUCCCUCUCUAACUCUACAACAGUCCAUUCUCCCACAAAGCACCAUUCAUUUCUCUCUAGACAUUACAUGAAGACUCAAAGAGGUGCAUGCAUGGAUACACCAACUCCCCAUGGUUUCUUUUGGAUCCAAAAAU